GAUGAACGCUGGCGGCGUGCCUAAUACAUGCAAGUCGAACGCUUCACUUCGGUGAAGAGUGGCGAACGGGUGAGUAAUACAUAAGUAACCUGGCAUCUACAGGGGGAUAACUGAUGGAAACGUCAGCUAAGACCGCAUAGGUGUAGAGAUCGCAUGAACUCUAUAUGAAAAGUGCUACGGGACUGGUAGAUGAUGGACUUAUGGCGCAUUAGCUUGUUGGUAGGGUAACGGCCUACCAAGGCGACGAUGCGUAGCCGACCUGAGAGGGUGACCGCCCACACUGGGACUGAGACACGGCCCAGACUCCUACGGGAGGCAGCAGUAGGGAAUUUUCGGCAAUGGGGGAAACCCUGACCGAGCAACGCCGCGUGAAGGAAGAAGUAAUUCGUUAUGUAAACUUCUGUCAUAGAGGAAGAACGGUGGAUAUAGGGAAUGAUAUCCAAGUGACGGUACUCUAUAAGAAAGCCACGGCUAACUACGUG
rnacentral:rRNA from 1 species